GUUAGCAGUUGUAGCACUUAACCACUACGCCACCAGGGUUUCCAUCCUAGGCAUUAGCAAACGUAAAUGGCCUGGUAUUUGCUAUUUUGAUUCCAACAACUAUACGAUUGUUCCGAGUGUUCAGAGCAGACCCAAGCCCCCUGGAUACCACAGGUAAGAAUAAUGAAAUAGAACUGUUGCUCUAUUUGUUGGUUUUCAGCACUGAGGCGAUAAUUAAGAAGGAUGACCAGAGGCAUUUGUAUUGUGCCACCAGAGUGGAAAUUCUUGGACCAGCCAAGACAGACUAGAGGGAAAGCAUUUGCCAAGAAUAUUUUCAUGAAUCAAGAAUGGAAGUUGGAGCUUUCAAAGAUGAUCAGGAACGGUGCCAGCUGGUGAUGCGGUAGUGUUUUUCCCAUGACCCACUGGGCAGCCCCCAGGAAACCAAAGUCUGUGAGU
rnacentral:ncRNA from 1 species